ACUUUGAUCAUGGCUCAGGACGAACGCUGGCGGCGUGCCUAACACAUGCAAGUCGAACGGAACUGUUUUGAAAGAUUUCUUCGGAAUGAAUUUGAUUUAGUUUAGUGGCGGACGGGUGAGUAACGCGUGAGUAACCUGCCUUCAAGAGGGGGAUAACAUUCUGAAAAGAAUGCUAAUACCGCAUGACAUACCGGAACCACAUGGUUCUGAUAUCAAAGAUUUUAUCGCUUGAAGAUGGACUCGCGUCCGAUUAGUUAGUUGGUGAGGUAACGGCUCACCAAGACCGCGAUCGGUAGCCGGACUGAGAGGUUGAACGGCCACAUUGGGACUGAGACACGGCCCAGACUCCUACGGGAGGCAGCAGUGGGGGAUAUUGCGCAAUGGGGGCAACCCUGACGCAGCAACGCCGCGUGAAGGAUGAAGGUUUUCGGAUUGUAAACUUCUUUUAUUAAGGACGAAAAUUGACGGUACUUAAUGAAUAAGCUCCGGCUAACUACGUGCCAGCAGCCGCGGUAAUACGUAGGGAGCAAGCGUUGUCCGGAUUUACUGGGUGUAAAGGGUGCGUAGGCGGCUUUGCAAGUCAGAUGUGAAAUCUAUGGGCUCAACCCAUAAACUGCAUUUGAAACUGUAGAGCUUGAGUGAAGUAGAGGCAGGCGGAAUUCCCCGUGUAGCGGUGAAAUGCGUAGAGAUGGGGAGGAACACCAGUGGCGAAGGCGGCCUGCUGGGCUUUAACUGACGCUGAGGCACGAAAGCGUGGGUAGCAAACAGGAUUAGAUACCCUGGUAGUCCACGCUGU
rnacentral:rRNA from 1 species